rnacentral:lncRNA from 1 species
ACUUUUUAUAUUCAUCGUUUAGACAUAAAUUUUUGGGGCAAUUUCAUCACUAGCCCUCUUAAACAUGUAAAUAUCACAAAUACUCCUAUAAAAUUAAAAAUAUCAUAUAUACCCCUUCAAAGGUAGAAAAAUAUCACAAUUACCUUUUAUUCUAACUGACGUUAGGGUAAAGUUAUAAAAUGACUAAUUUACCCCUUAAAAGUUGUUUGGGUUAUUCUUUUGAUAACAAAUAAUAGAGGAGUAAUUUCAUGAAUACCCUUCUAAUUUCUAAUACUAAUUAUUGGUGGAUAAAAUAAGUGGAAACCCCUCACCUAUAGGUCAUUUUGAAAUAUACCCCCUUAACUUCAAUUUUUUAACAUUUAGAGAGCCCUUUAACUUUUAGUUUUUUUUUUGUUUUUGCGUUUUACUUAGUUAAAAGUUUUUCAAUUGAGAUCACUCAUACAUGAAUUUGAUAAAAUUUUUAACUUAGUUGGAAAAAAAAAACACUCAAUUGCAAAAGUAAAGAAUCACUACACUUGAGAGGAUGUAUAUAUAUAGAGAGAGAGAGUCAGGCUACUAUACUCUUAUGAGUGUGAUCGCCUUCUUACUCAUAAGUCGUUUUCAAUAAUAAAGCUUCCGAAUUGACGAUCCAUAAUGUUAAAUAUUAUCUAGAAUAUUCAAAACUUCAAGAAAUCAAAUUUUAUAAUUUUUUUAUAUCAUUACGAUCAAAAGAUCUCAAAAUUGACAAUUUUUAAUGGUCAGUAUGGGAUACUUGCUAGUUUAAUGGUGAAAAAAAAUCGGAAUCAAUUGAAUUUUUGAUAGAAAAUUUUAUUUACUAUCUAGAUAAAGNAAAUUUUCAUCGUAUUUUGAUUGUUUUACACCGUUAAACUCAAAAACACACCACAUCAGCCAUUAAAAUUGUCGAUUUUGAGAUUUUUUGAUCACUGGUCAAAUGAUGUCAAAAAAAUCUGAAAUUUAGUUUCCAAAUAUUUUCAAUAGUGUAGAUCAAGUCUAACGAAGCCGAUCGUCGAUUUGGGAGCCGCAUCAUCAAAAACAACUUGGUAGCACGGAGCGCUCCGUGCUACCGAUAGCAUAGUAGCCGGACUAUAUAUAUAUAUAUAUAUAUAUAUAUAUAUAGUCCGGCUACUAUGCUAUCGGUAGCACGGAGCGCUCCGUGCUACCAAGUUGUUUUUGAUGAUGCGGCUCCCAAAUCGACGAUCGGCUUCGUUAGACUUGAUCUACACUAUUGAAAAUAUUUGGAAACUAAAUUUCAGAUUUUUUUGACAUCAUUUGACCAGUGAUCAAAAAAUCUCAAAAUCGACAAUUUUAAUGGCUGAUGUGGUGUGUUUUUGAGUUUAACGGUGUAAAACAAUCAAAAUACGAUGAAAAUUUUAUAGAAAAUUCUUUUCACUAUUUAUAUAAGAUCAGUAUAUCUGAUCUUGAAUUUAAAUCUUUUAUCAUCAUUUUUUAUGAGAUUUUUAUUUUCAGCCGUUCAAUUUUAAACUACUUGUUUGAUAGGUAAAUGAUAUCGAAAAAUUAUGAAAUUUAGUUUCUAAAUACUUUCAAUAGUGUAGAUCAAGUCUAACGGAGCUGAUCGUCGAUUUAGAAACCGCAUCAUCGAAAACAACUUGGUAGCACGGAGCGCUCCAUGCUACCAAUAAUAUAGUAGCCUAGUUCUAUAUAUAUAUAGAGAGAGAGAGAGAGAGAGAGAGAGUUGAGCUGGAAUACUAUCGGUAGCAAACGGGCUCCGUUGUCACCCAUUCAUUUUCGAUGAUGGAGCUUCCAUAUCGACGAUCGGUACUGUUGAACAUGAUUUAUACCACUUGAAGUACCUAGAAAUCAAAUUUCAUGCUUUUCCGAUAUUGUUUUCUUGUCCAUCAAGUGGGCGUAAAAAUAAACAGUUGAAAAUGAAUAUUCUCUAAAAAGUGAUGAUACGAAUUUUGUAAUUAAGAUCGAGAGUAUAGAUCUUGUUCUAAAUAGUUUAAAGAAUUUUUUAACCAAAAUUCAAUUGAUUUGGAUAGCUUUACGCGGUUAAACGAGAAAACACCUCAUAUCUACCAUUAAAAUUACAAAUUUUGAAACCCUUUGAUCAAUAGGUCAACGAUAUCGAAAAGAUUUGAAAUUUGGUUUCUAGAUACUUCAAGUGGUAUAGAUCACAUUCAACGGUGCCGAUCAACGAUUUGAAGGCUCCAUCAUGAAAAACAAAUGGGUGGCAACGGAACCUGUUUGCUACCUAUAGUAUUCCAGCUCAACUCUAUAUAUAUAUAUAGUUCGGCUGGGAUACUAUUGAUAACACCGAGCGUUUGGUGCUAUCAAGUUUUCCGCCGUUAGAUUUAACCCUUUGACUAUUUUCACCCAUUGGAUUAUACUAUUAAGCUAAUAACUCACUCAACUCUAGAGGGCCCACAUCAUCCUAGCCAUAUAUUUCUUCUUCUAAGAGCUGAAAACCUAAUAGCGUCAAUAGCUUGGUGCUAUUGAUAGUAUUCCAGCUUAUAUAUAUAUAUAUAUAGAGAGAGAGAGAGAGAGAGAGAGAGUAGAGCAGAGCUACUAUAUUAUUGGAAGUAUAGAGGAUUUGAUGCUUCCGAUUUUUUGCCCUUAGAUCAACCUCUUUAAUUAUUUCUAACAUUUGAAUUAAUACUAUUACCUUGUGAGGACCACUCAACCCUAGUGGUACUACUCAACCCUAGAGGGGCCGCAAUCAUCCCAACCGUACAAUUUCUUGAUCAAAGGGUCAAAAAAUCGAAAACACCAAAUCUUUUAUGCUUUCAAUAAUAUUGUUACUCUACCCUAUAUAUAUAUAAAAAAAAAGAGAGUUGGGUUAGAAUACUAUUAAUAGUAUUUGUCCUUUUUUGCUAUUAAGUUUUUAGUCUUUAAUAAAUCAAUUUCUUUGAUCAUUUGUAACCAUUGGAUUAAAUAUUAUAAUCCAGUGGAAACCACUCAAUUCUAGAGGAACCACUUAACCAUAAGGUACUAAUAUCAUUCUAACUAUAUAAUUUUUUAUCCAAGUGUUAAAAACUUGAUAGCAAAAGGAGCAAAAUAUUAUCAAUAGUAUUCCAGCCCAACUCUCUCUCUCUCUCUCUCUCUCUCUCUCUCUCUCUCUCUAUAUAUAUAUAUAUAUAUAAAGAGAGAGAAUAUAUAUAUAUAUAGAGAGAGAGAGAGAGAGAGAGAGAGAGAGUUAGACUGUUAUACUAUCGGUAGCACGGAGCCCUUCGUGCUACCAAGUUGUUUUCAAUGAUGUGGUUUCCAAAUCGAUGAUCGGCUCCAUUAGUCUUGAUCUACAGUUUCAAAAGUAUUUGGAAACUAAAUUUAAAAUUUAAAAAUAUAAAUUUAAAAUUUAAAAGUUAACAAUUCAAAAUUUUAAAUUAUAUUUUUUAAAAUGACAUAUUGAAAGAGUUUCGAGAGUUAGAGAAGUAAAAUUGUCAUUUUACAUAAUAUGCAGUAUUACUGGCUUUCAGUAAUUCAAGAUACACGUCCCCCCUCUCAUUAAUAUUUUUGGUGUAAUUCUGUACCAUUUUUAAUACUACAUUACCGACCCGAUUACAUACCGGAUGAACCAAACACGGUAAUCCUGACAGGAUUGCUCGUAAUCCUGUCAGAAUAACCUGAACCAAAUGCACUCUUAUGAGUAUAAAGCCCAUGAGUUGUUUUCAAUGAUGGAGCUUCUGAAUCAAUGAUUCACUCCGUUAAAUAUAAUCUAGAGUAUUUGAAAGUUCUAAAAAAUAAAUUUUGUAAUUUUUUGAAAUUAUAAUAAAGUCUAUCAAGCAGGUAAAAAAUGAACAAUUAAAAUCGAACGGCGUUCUAAAAAUAGAUGAUCAGAUCCUUCAAUUUCAUAUUAGAGUUAUUAAUCUUUAUCUAGAUAGUGAUUAAUCAAAAAUUCAAUCGAUUUCGAUUCUUUUACACUGUUAAACUAGCAAGUAUCUCAUAUUGGCUUUUAAAAUUAUUAAUUUUGAGAUUUUUUAAUCGUAAGGUAAAUAAUGUUAAAAAAAUAUAAAAUUUGAUUUCUACAAGUUUUAAAUACUCUAGAAAAUAUUUAACGGCAUGGAUUAUCGUUUCGAAAAUUUUAUUAUUGAAAACAAGAAUGUGAUAGUAAGACUAAAAAUAUCGGGUGCCAAAAAACAAAAAAUCACAGCCGUCCGCUACGGCUCACUCUCAUCAGAGAAUCAAAACCGUUCAUAACCCUCGCCUCACCAGGAAAAAAGAAACCCUAAUUCCACUCCGCCUCCACGCUCUCCCCCUUAUAUAAACCCUAAACUCCACGUCGAUUCACAGGCCCUCAGUUCCCUUAUUAAUGCUUCGCACAGGGUAAUGUAACUCUUUCUAGGGUUUUUCUUUUCCUUCUUUGUAUUAUUAUUAUUUUUUUAUUUUUAUAUAUAUCUCUCGUUCGGGGUUCUAAAUGAUGUGGAUUUAUCAAAAGGGAACAUCCCAAAAACCAAAAAAAUAAAAAAUUGGGGUGUGAUGAUAUUCCCCUUUAAUUGAAUAGGAAGAUCUGAUAGAUCCCCUUAUUAUCCCAUCUUCUUGUUUUCAGGUUUGUAGCUUUUGUUGUUGGUUUUUUUUAAAAAAAAUAUAUAUAUUUGGGUUUUUUUUUUUUUGAAUUUAUAGCAGCAGUGUGAAUGAUGAGAACAUGUAAAAUAUACAGUUAUCCCUGUCUGAUAAAUUCACAUGAAUGGGUGCUGAGAAAAAUACUCAAUCUGACACUUCUCUGCUGUUUAAUUUUUUUAUAUAAACUAAUUUGUUUAUGCUCUGUUGAUUAUGGUGAUUCUUCAAAUAUAAUUAAAAUUUUAUAUUAGUUUUUUUAAGUUUUUUAGAACAUUUUUAUGAAUUUUUUUUUAUAAUAAAUUGCCGAUGAUGACAUUGCGAGUGGCUGAACAGCAGGUUUAUUUUAUCUGCUGCAUCUUGUUGAAACAAAAUGCAAGAACUAGGACGGUCUGAGGCAUUGAUCUCAUUUUUUUUGUUAUAGAGAAUAAUAAUAUAUCAAACAUAAAUCGUAAAGACCAAGAACUUAUGAAAGAACAAAAAUCGAGGUUUUAGGCAUCGAUAUAGAAAAGAAAUUAUCACUAACAUCGUAAUUGCACUGUUUAUUGAGUAUAUAAUUCUGAUAUGCAAACAAAGACCUUGAAGUUCAAAACAGAGAAGCAUCUAACAUUCAUAUAGGAAUAAUAACUUAAUAUAUUCAUCGAACAGAAACAUCAUAAAAACUAGGGGCAAUUUCAUCACUAGCCCUCUUAAACAUGUAAAUAUCACAAAUACUCCUAUAAAAUUAAAAAUAUCAUAUAUACCUCUUCAAAGGUAGAAAAAUAUCACAAUUACCUUUUAUUCUAACUGACGGUAGGGUAAAGUUAUAAAAUGACUAAUUUACCCCUUAAAAGUUGUUUGGGUUAUUCU